AGAACGAACGCUGGCGGCAGGCUUAACACAUGCAAGUCGAACGCCCCGCAAGGGGAGUGGCAGACGGGUGAGUAACACGUGGGAACAUACCCUUCGGUACGGAACAACUCGGGGAAACGCGAGCUAAUACCGUAUACGCCCUGGCGGGGAAAGAUUUAUCGCCGAAGGAUUGGCCCGCGCCCGAUUAGCUAGUUGGUGAGGUAAUGGCUCACCAAGGCGACGAUCGGUAGCU
rnacentral:rRNA from 1 species